rnacentral:SRP_RNA from 1 species
GCUGGGCGCGGUGGUGCGUGCCUGUAGUCCCAGCUACUCAGGAGGCUGAGGCUGGAGGAUCGCUUGAGUCCAGGAGUUCUGGGCUGUAGUGUGCUAUACCGAUCAGGUGUCUGCACUAAGUUCGGCAUCAGUAUGUUGACCUCUCGGGAGUGGGGGACCAGGAGGUUGCCUAAGGAGGGGGUAAACCAGCCCAGGUUGAAAGCAGAGCAGGUCAAAACUCUGUGCUGAUCAGUAGUGGGAUCGCGCCUGUGAAUAGCCACUGCACUCCAGCCUGGGCAACAUAGUGAGACCCUGGCUCA